rnacentral:rRNA from 1 species
GACGAACGCUGGCGGCGUGCUUAACACAUGCAAGUCGAACGGAAGGGCCCUGCUUUUGUGGGGUGCUCGAGUGGCGAACGGGUGAGUAACACGUGAGUAACCUGCCCUUGACUUUGGGAUAACUUCAGGAAACUGGGGCUAAUACCGGAUAGGAGCUCCUGCUGCAUGGUGGGGGUUAGAAAGUUUCGGCGGUUGGGGAUGGACUCGCGGCUUAUCAGCUUGUUGGUGGGUAGUGGCUUACCAAGGCUUUGACGGGUAGCCGGCCUGAGAGGGUGACCGGCCACAUUGGGACUGAGAUACGGCCCAGACUCCUACGGGAGGCAGCAGUGGGGAAUAUUGCACAAUGGGCGGAAGCCUGAUGCAGCAACGCCGCGUGCGGGAUGACGGCCUUCGGGUUGUAAACCGCUUUCGCCUGUGACGAAGCGUGAGUGACGGUAAUGGGUAAAGAAGCACCGGCUAACUACGUG